CAAAAAGUUAAUUGAACUCUCGAAAAGCGUUUCUGUAAUGUUGCAACUUAACGAUAAUCGGUACAAAAGCGGCGACAGGAACAGAGAUGGCGGCAAAUUUCGCCCCGCUCGCACUGCUACCAGCGAUCGCCGGCGGCGAUCUGACUUAUGCCCAGGGCGAGGGAAGGUUUUCCACCGUCCCCGUCCUCAAUUACUAGGAAGAUCUCUAAAUCUCUCGCUCCCUCAACAAGUUACUUCUGUUUCUUCAUCUCCCCAAGAAUAUAUAGACGAUUAAAAUUGCAUACCUGAGUGCUUAGAGAGUGGGUACUGGCGACAAAGAAGAUGGUAUCGCUGAAGUAGUUAUUGCUCAGGAAGCGGCUCGUUGAACUCCAGGUACCCCAACUUUCUCGACGCUUUAAGCUAUAUAUUCUUAUUUUCAGUUCUUAAAAACCACACUUUUAGUUCCUUAUCUCGACCUAUCACAAGAUAAUUGUUAUUUGUCGCAAAUUUUUUUGAUUCAAUAUAAGUUUUCUUAUUAAAUUAUCAAAUGGACUAGCAUUACGGGCUGCUUGGGAUCCGUAUGUAAUUUCUUACUUAAUGCACCUAUCACAGAGAAUUUCCUAGUUUAUGUCUUGUUUAAUCUUGGUAACAAAUGGAAACUUGCUUGAGGAAUAAUGAAAUAAUGACUUCUGAGGGUCUUUACAUGGGGAUCACCAAUGUGCUAAACUAAUUGGAGUGGCUUCCUCUCCUACAUUCACCCAUUGCAUUUAUAUUUUCUAUUGUUUAUGUUAUCCCUUUUGCAUUUUAUCAGAUACCUUUGGAGGCCGUGAACUAGACCACAGUUAAGUAGUUUGUAUAUUCCAAAUUCAAAUGCAUGAUGAUAUUAUUCAUGAUUUCAAUGCCUAUUGAGAUAAAAACUCAAAUCUCCACUUUCCACAUGACUCCAUGUUGGAUCCAUGCUGUGGUAUUCAGAGAAAUGACUUCCCUUCCGUUUAAGUCAAUUGCACGACCAUAGAUCACCACCAUACUUGCUUUCUUUUUGCUAGCCCAAUUCUGUGGUGCUCCAGUGGGACUUGAAGCAUGUAUCCUGUCAUGGCCUUGCAGGCCUGGAGCACGACAGAUGGCAAUGUAUAGAAUCGUAAAUGCCUCUUGCAGUUCUUGUCUGUUUGACGCUAACUCGGGCUUUGGGGGGGUCAAGAAUUAAGUAGGGGAGGGGAGGGAAGGGAUUGUGAAAUCUCUUCACCACAGUGGGGAUAUGAAAGUGUGAUAUACUGACCUGUUUAUAAACCAUGUAGCAUGGGGAUUGUAGUUAAUUCCUCUCCAUUUCUCGCAUUUGCAACAACUUAAUGAACACGGGACUAUGGUUCUCAGUUAUGAAAUUUGUGAUGUGAGCACUUGGUAGGACCUCAUCGUAAAUUAUUACUUCACUUGCAGAUGGAAAUGAUUAGGCUUGUAUACAAGUGAUGUUACAAACUAAUGGCAUUUGUCGUGCCUUUUCAUCAAUUUAGCGGGAAUGCUUAUAUUUAUGUUUUUGAUUUAAUAAUGUAAGGAAUAAGCUCUGCACGGACAAUUUUCAUUAGAAAGAAACUAUGCAAGGCAUAUUCCCCUCUCCCAAUACCUUACUUCUAUGUUUUUUCGGGGGUCACGAUUCAAUUUUUGAGGUCACAUCAUUUAUUGGUGACAAGUUAUCGGUCACAUAUUAUUUAUUGAUGACAAAUUAUCCAAUUUAUUCAAAUAAUUGGUCACAAAUCAACCAAUUUGUCACAAUUAACCAAAUUAUUGAUCUCAAAGACCCCUGCCUCAUACUAUCAACCCACAAAUUGGUCACAUAUUAUUUAUUGGUCACAAAUCAACUAAUUUGUCACCGUCAACCAAAUUAUUGAUCUCAAACACCCCUGCCCCAUGCCAUCAACCCACAACCACCACCAUUGCCAACAUCACCACCACCACCACCACCACCAUAUUAUCACAAUCAACAUCACAACCACCACCACCCAAACACCACUAAAAAGUCAGAUCUGAAAUUAUCCAUCAUCGCUACGACCACCACUAACAUCAACAUCACCACCACCACCACCACCACCGCAAUGGCAAAAACACCACCACAGUGCAUCGCACACCCCCAAAACUUCGAUUAAGUAAAUUAGAGGAAAAAACGAACCCAAACCCCUAAAAAUAUCGUCGCUAUAUCCUAACUUCACCCAUCACCCCACUGCUACUAGCAUCACCGCACACACCACAACACACAGAGAUCACCACCGCACAGAUCCACACACACCACAGCAUACACAUAUCACCACCACACACCACAGGUCACUGCACUACCACAGAAUUACACCCUUUUUUUUGUCAAACACCGUGAUCAACAAUCACCAAGAAGUAGCGGCGCUCGUCGUUGCUUAUAAUAGACUCAUCGUACAUCUUCUUAAUAGAUUUGUAGCAGCGAUGUCUGCUUCAGAGUGACGAGACCAGCGGCUUCGCAUUGGCUCUGAACUGACGAGACCAGUGGCUUCGCAUUGGCUCUGACUACUUCAGAGCGAUGCUGCUGUGGUGGUGGCGUCUUGAGUGUCGUGUCGCAGUGCCAAUAGUAUAUCUGGCGGUGAUGUGUGAUAAAGAGAGAAUGGAGGGAUAUAGAGAGAGACAAGGGAAAUAAUAGAGAGAGAAAUGAUAGGAAUUUUUUCUUUUCUUUUUUGGGAGCAAAAACCUAGUAUUUCAUUAAUUCAAGUUGCCACAAACUAUAGACGACACAAACCAAGGAAUACAUUCAAUCCAAACUCUAAUUCCAAGAUAAAUGACAUCAUAAGAUGCAAUGAAGUGUGCUACCUUAUUCCCCUUGCAAGUAACAUUACAACACGACCACAAAUCGUAUCUUUAAACAUGGAUAAAUUUUAAAUAAAAUAGAGGGGUUUGGAGGACAGGAAAAUCAGAUCUGAGGAUUGAACGGCCCGUUGUGAGUCACUCUCCACCAGGGCCACUUGGAAUCCAUAGCUUUAUGCAAAAAUAAGUCUAUCUAACUGCUAUAGCCUUGGCAUCUUCAACAGAAAGGUCCCAAACUUCAUGUUUAAGGUCCCAAACUUCAUGUUUCACUUGGACACCCAUAACUACUCCAGCAUUGUCUCUCCAAUAACAGCCCCAGUGGUGAUAAAACUCACCCCACUGAUCACAGCCGUGUUGGUGUCUUCAAUAAAUCAGUUCAUGAAAGAAAAAUGUACCAGUGCACUGAGUGAUAUAAAUUUCUAUUCUAACAGUUUUAGGCAGGUGCAUGCCAUUACCACCUGCUACAUACUAUCUAGCCCCUAUUUGGCCCCCAUUUUCUAAAAUUCACUUUCUCCUAAAACUCAUUUUGUACGACAUGUUCCUUGGAACUCGCAACUUUUAUCAACUUUUCAACAACAUUUCGUCAAAUUUUAUCAAAAUCUACUAAAAAUCUUAUUUUUGGCUAAAUCAAACAGGGGCCUAAUUAAUGACUGGAAAUUUAUGAGCUAUUUAGUAGGAAAAUCAGAAAGAAUGCUGUGCUGUGGAAAAGCUUAAUUGUCUCUUCUUCAUUAUAGAACUAUGAAAGUUUCCAUUUUAGUUUGUCCAUAUCAGGUUGCUUUAAUGCAGCAGUUGUGAAUUGACCUUGUGUCAUUCAUAUUCCCAUCUUCUCUCUACCUCAGAAUAAAUUUCUACGCUUGGAGAUUAUUGAACAAAAUGUUCUCCCUUGACAUAGGAUGCUGAAUGAAAUUGUUGAUCAAUGCCGGACAAUUUUAACACAUUAUUUGACAGAAUGCCGCAUGGCAUUCUAUUAUUUGCCUGUUUGAAAAACAUAACAAAUUUUGCACUAAUGAAAACCUAGUAACACCCUUGUCAAAGGGGUGGGCACCAAAUUCUGGAAAAAAAGCUUAAUUCAUUGUUGAUCCACGUGUUAUUCAUGCUUUUGUCCUUGUCUGUUGGAGUUGGGCAUCUCUUCCAUCUAAUUUGAUGAUUUAGCGACCAGUCACCGUAAAUUUCUCUAAUACCUUGGUUGCCUUUAAGUACUGGUCCUUUUAGAUGUCUCCUCAUUUGUAUUAUGUUUUUUUUUUUUUUUUUUGGCUAAAAAUAUUUUCUAUUCUAACGGGAACCACAAUGGUGAUGUUCCAUAUUUUUUAUAAUAUUUGGAAUGGUAUUUUAAUUUUAUAUUAAAAUUUUAAAUAUUAUUGUCAAAUUUUAAAUAUUUUCUAUUUAUAUCGCUGUGUUUUUCAGUUUUGGUGAUGGGCUGAUGGUGAAAAUUUGUUAAAUUGCAGAUGUUGAAUAACCAUGGAAGAAAAAGAUUCAUAGAAAAUUGUACAAUAGUGAACUUCAGAUUUUCCAUAAUUGCUACAUUUUGUGACUUUUAUGAUAAGUCAAUUUGUUGAAAAAUAUUUACGUUAUUAAUGGUUUGAAAUCAAGAGUUGAGGUAUACAGAAUAUUCUCUCAAGUCGCCUCUGCAAGACUAAUAUAUAGUUCAAAAAAAGAGAGAUCCUCCAGAGAGUUUAAAUAUUACUUGCUGCCUAGUAUACUAAUUGUGUUGUCGCCUUAUCGGAGCUAAUGUUGAUACAAUGCCUUUCUUUUUUUUUUUUGCAGACAGAUGAUAGAACUUUGGGACUUUAACAUGAUAAAUGGGAAUUGUUUCACGUGUUGAAUUGCAGCUAUCUCGCAAAUCUUCAGCAACAUUUGAAAGCUAUGAUGCAUCGACAUAGACACGUGUGUCCGACAUGAUAUGUGUCGGAUACGUCGACAAGCGAUUUUUCAAAAAGUCAUGUUGAUUAAAUUUUUUAAAAUUCUUCAUUUAUAUUGUGUAAAUUUAGUUAUAUACUUGUUAUUAAUUACUCUUGUUGUAAUUUUUUUAACAUGAGUACAUAUUUGUUACUCAUUGAUAAUUUUGAGUUAAAAUAUAUAAUAUUUUUUAAUAAAAAGGGAAAAGGGAAUUUAUGGUAGAGUGUUCGAGAAAUGUCGAUACCGACACGUGUUGGAUUCAGACAUAGACACACUACCCUAGUUGAAGUAUCCGUGUUACAUAGUUUGAAAGCCUCCCUCAAGAGGCUUUAAUGCAACCAUCUCUAGCUUCUGAUAAAUAAAUUAAUAAGUUUUGCUUGCACCUUAUUGCUUUUUCUCUUGUAAAUGGCAAGAACUUCCAUCUCGAUGCUACAAUACAAGAUUGUUCUAUUAUUUUCAUAUUAUUGUCAGUGCUGGCAGCUUAGACAUUUUGGGUUUUCUUAUUUCAU
rnacentral:lncRNA from 1 species